AUUGAACGCUGGCGGAAUGCUUUACACAUGCAAGUCGAGCGGCAGCACGGGGGCAACCCUGGUGGCGAGCGGCGAACGGGUGAGUAAUACAUCGGAACAUGCCCAGUCGUGGGGGAUAACACUUCGAAAGAAGUGCUAAUACCGCAUACGUCCUGAGGGAGAAAGCGGGGGAUCUUCGGACCUCGCGCGAUUGGAGUGGCCGAUGUCAGAUUAGCUAGUUGGUGGGGUAAAGGCCUACCAAGGCAACGAUCUGUGGCUGGUCUGAGAGGAUGAUCAGCCACACUGGGACUGAGACACGGCCCAGACUCCUACGGGAGGCAGCAGUGGGGAAUUUUGGACAAUGGACGCAAGUCUGAUCCAGCCAUGCCGCGUGCGGGAAGAAGGCCUUCGGGUUGUAAACCGCUUAUGUCAGGGAAGAAACGAGUUUCUCUAAUACAGAGACUUAAUGACGGUACCUGAAGAAUAAGCACCGGCUAACUACGUGCCAGCAGCCGCCGUAAAAC
rnacentral:rRNA from 1 species